GACGAACGCUGGCGGCGUGCUUAACACAUGCAAGUCGAACGGUGAAGCUCCAGCUUGCUGGAGUGGAUCAGUGGCGAACGGGUGAGUAACACGUGAGCAACCUGCCCCUGACUCUGGAAUAAGCGCUGGAAACGGCGUCUAAUACUGGAUACGAGAAGGGUCCGCAUGGGCACUUUCUGGAAAGUUUUUCGGUUGGGGAUGGGCUCGCGGCCUAUCAGCUUGUUGGUGAGGUAGUGGCUCACCAAGGCGACGACGGGUAGCCGGCCUGAGAGGGCGACCGGCCACACUGGGACUGAGACACGGCCCAGACUCCUACGGGAGGCAGCAGUGGGGAAUAUUGCACAAUGGGCGGAAGCCUGAUGCAGCGACGCCGCGUGCGGGAUGACGGCCUUCGGGUUGUAAACCUCUUUCAGCAGGGAAGAAGCGAAAGUGACGGUACCUGCAGAAGAAGCACCGGCUAACUACGUG
rnacentral:rRNA from 1 species